UACGAAGGGGGCUAGCGUUGCUCGGAAUCACUGGGCGUAAAGCGCACGUAGGCGGCUUAUUAAGUCAGAGGUGAAAUCCUGGAGCUCAACUCCAGAACUGCCUUUGAUACUGAGAAGCUUGAGUCCGGGAGAGGUGAGUGGAACUGCGAGUGUAGAGGUGAAAUUCGUAGAUAUUCGCAAGAACACCAGUGGCGAAGGCGGCUCACUGGCCCGGUACUGACGCUGAGGUGCGAAAGCGUGGGGAGCAAACAGG
rnacentral:rRNA from 1 species